rnacentral:rRNA from 1 species
AUACGGAGGGUGCGAGCGUUACUCGGAGUCACUGGGCGUAAAGCGUCCGUAGGCGGUCGGGUAAGUCGGGUGUGAAAGCCCCGGGCUCAACCUGGGAAGUGCACCCGAUACUGCUCGACUCGAGUGCGGGAGAGGAUGGCGGAAUUCCCGGUGUAGCGGUGAAAUGCGUAGAGAUCGGGAGGAACACCAGUGGCGAAGGCGGCCAUCUGGCCCGCAACUGACGCUGAGGGACGAAAGCGUGGGGAGCAAACAGGAUUAGAAACCCGUGUAGUCC